GUGCCAGCCGCCGCGGUAAUACCGGCAGCCCGAGUGAUGGCCGAUCUUAUUGGGCCUAAAGCGUCCGUAGCUGGCCGAACAAGUCCGUCGGGAAAUCCACGUGCUUAACACGUGGGCGCCCGGUGGAAACUGCGCGGCUUGGGACCGGAAGGCGCGACGGGUACGUCCGGGGUAGGAGUGAAAUCCCGUAAUCCUGGACGGACCGCCGAUGGCGAAAGCACGUCGCGAGAACGGAUCCGACAGUGAGGGACGAAAGCCAGGGUCCCGAACCGGAUUAGAAACCCCAGUAGCCC
rnacentral:rRNA from 1 species